CUACGGGAGGCAGCAGUGAGGAAUAUUGCACAAUGGGGGAAACCCUGAUGCAGCAACGCCGCGUGGAGGAUGACGCAUUUCGGUGUGUAAACUCCUUUUAUAUGUCAAGAAAAUGACGGUAGCAUAUGAAUAGGCACCGGCUAACUCCGUGCCAGCAGCCGCGGUAAUACGGAGGGUGCAAGCGUUACUCGGAAUCACUGGGCGUAAAGGACGCGUAGGCUGGUUGGUAAGUCAGGUGUGAAAUCCUACAGCUUAACUGUAGAACUGCACUUGAAACUACCAACCUAGAGUAUGGGAGGGGGAGAUGGAAUUAGUGGUGUAGGGGUAAAAUCCGUAGAUAUCACUAGGAAUACCGAAAGCGAAGGCGAUCUCCUGGAACAUAACUGACGCUAAGGCGUGAAAGCGUGGGGAGCAAACAGGAUUAGAUACCCGUGUAGUC
rnacentral:rRNA from 1 species